rnacentral:rRNA from 2 species
UAGGGAAUCUUCGGCAAUGGACGAAAGUCUGACCGAGCAACGCCGCGUGAGUGAAGAAGGUUUUCGGAUCGUAAAACUCUGUUGUUAGAGAAGAACAAGGACGUUAGUAACUGAACGUCCCCUGACGGUAUCUAACCAGAAAGCCACGGCUAACUACGUGCCAGCAGCCGCGGUAAUACGUAGGUGGCAAGCGUUGUCCGGAUUUAUUGGGCGUAAAGCGAGCGCAGGCGGUUUCUUAAGUCUGAUGUGAAAGCCCCCGGCUCAACCGGGGAGGGUCAUUGGAAACUGGGGGACUUGAGUGCAGAAGAGGGGAGUGGAAUUCCAUGUGUAGCGGUGAAAUGCGUAGAUAUAUGGAGGAACACCAGUGGCGAAGGCGGCUCUCUGGUCUGUAACUGACGCUGAGGCUCGAAAGCGUGGGGAGCAAACAGG